rnacentral:rRNA from 1 species
GACGAACGCUGGCGGUGUGCUUCACACAUGCAAGUCGAACGAGGUAGCAAUACCUAGUGGCGGACGGGUGAGUAACGCGUGGGAAUCUGCCUUUUAGAUGGGGGGAUAACGGGUCGAAAGACUCGCUAAUACCGCAUAUGACGAAAGUUUGAAAGGAGUAAUCCGUCUAAAGAUGAGCCCGCGUCCGAUUAGCUAGUUGGUAGAGUAAAAGCCUACCAAGGCGACGAUCGGUAGCUGGUCUGAGAGGAUGAUCAGCCACAAUAGGGACUGAGACACGGCCCAUACUCCUACGGGAGGCAGCAGUGGGGAAUUUUACGCAAUGGGCGAAAGCCUGACGUAGCGACACCGCGUGAGCGAAGAAGCCCCUUUGGGGNGUAAAGCUCUGUCAGCUGGAACGAAAAAAAUGACGGUACCAGCAGAGGAAGCAUCGGCUAACUACGUGCCAGCAGCCGCGG